AGCCUGGUGCAGGCCUAACACAUGCAAGUCGAGCGCUCACUUCGGUGGGAGCGGCGGACGGGUUAGUAACGCGUGGGAACGUGCCCAGAUCUAAGGAAUAGCCACUGGAAACGGUGAGUAAUACCUUAUACGCCCUUCGGGGGAAAGAUUUAUCGGAUUUGGAUCGGCCCGCGUUAGAUUAGAUAGUUGGUGGGGUAAUGGCCUACCAAGUCUACGAUCUAUAGCUGGUUUUAGAGGACAAUCAGCAACACUGGGACUGAGACACGGCCCAGACUCCUACGGGAGGCAGCAGUGGGGAAUCUUGGACAAUGGGGGCAACCCUGAUCCAGCCAUGCCGCGUGAGUGAUGUAGGCCUUAGGGUCGUAAAGCUCUUUCGCCAGGGAUGAUAAUGACAGUACCUGGUAAAGAAACCCCGGCUAACUCCGUGCCAGCAGCCGCGGUAAUACGGAGGGGGUUAGCGUUGUUCGGAAUUACUGGGCGUAAAGCGCGCGUAGGCGGAUUGGAAAGUUGGGGGUGAAAUCCCGGGGCUCAACCCCGGAACUGCCUCCAAAACUAUCAGUCUAGAGUUCGAGAGAGGUGAGUGGAAUUCCGAGUGUAGAGGUGAAAUUCGUAGAUAUUCGGAGGAACACCAGUGGCGAAGGCGGCUCACUGGCUCGAUACUGACGCUGAGGUGCGAAAGUGUGGGGAGCAAACAGGAUUAGAUACCCUGGUAGUCCACACCGUAACGAUGAAUGCCAGUCGUCGGCAAGCAUGCUUGUCGGUGACACACCUAACGGAUUAAGCAUUCCGCCUGGGGAGUACGGUCGCAAGAUUAAAACUCAAA
rnacentral:rRNA from 1 species